AGAGUUUGAUCCUGGCUCAGGACGAACGCUGGCGGCGUGCCUAACACAUGCAAGUCGAACGGGGGUAGCAAUACCUCAGUGGCGAACGGGUGCGUAACACGUGAAGAACUUGUCCAUCGGCGGGGGAUAGCCGGCCCAACGGCCGGGUAAUACCGCGUACGCUUGCUGGGUGGCAUCAUCCGGCAAGGAAAGCAGCAAUGCACCGAUGGAGAGCUUCGCGGCCUAUCAGCUAGUUGGCGGGGUCAAGGCCCACCAAGGCGACGACGGGUAGCUGGUCUGAGAGGAUGGCCAGCCACAUUGGGACUGAGACACGGCCCAGACUCCUACGGGAGGCAGCAGUGGGGAAUAUUGCGCAAUGGGCGAAAGCCUGACGCAGCGACGCCGCGUGCGGGAUGAAGGCCUUCGGGUCGUAAACCGCUGUCGCGAGGGACGAAAAUCUGACGGUACCUCGAAAGGAAGCACCGGCUAACUCUGUGCCAGCAGCCGCGGUAAUACAGAGGGUGCGAGCGUUGUCCGGAAUUACUGGGCGUAAAGGGCGCGUA
rnacentral:rRNA from 1 species